rnacentral:tRNA from 1 species
GCUUUGGUGGCUCAGUCGGUAGAGCGUGAAUCUCAUAAUCUCAAGGUCGUGAGAUCGACUUCACCCAGAGCA